UACGUAGGGUGCAAGCGUUAUCCGGAAUUAUUGGGCGUAAAGAGCUCGUAGGCGGUUUGUCACGUCUGCUGUGAAAACUGGAGGCUCAACCUCCAGCCUGCAGUGGGUACGGGCAGACUAGAGUGCGGUAGGGGAGAUUGGAAUUCCUGGUGUAGCGGUGGAAUGCGCAGAUAUCAGGAGGAACACCAAUAGCGAAGGCAGCUCGCUGGGGACGUUACUGACGCUGAGAAGCGAAAGCAUGGGGAGCGAACAGG
rnacentral:rRNA from 1 species